UCAUUGAAGCAACCAUUCCAUUCUGAAGUU
rnacentral:sRNA from 1 species